GAGAACUCUGCCUUGGAAUUGAUUGAAUGUACGCAAUUGUAUUAUUUAAGGAGGUGUCGAUAGUUUGUGUAAAUCAGUUGUUCACGACGGUCAAAAUAAUUUGGCAGCCAUGUUUAACAAGGUUUUUAUACUGGCACUGGCCUUAAUUUGCUGUGCUGCGAUGGUGUCAUGUCAAGGUGGUGGGGGCCGAGGUGGAUUUGGAGGUCAAGGUGGUAGAGGUGGAGGUGGAUUUGGCCAAGGCGGAGGAGGAUUUGGCCAGGGUGGAGGAAGAUUUGGCCAAGAUGGAGGAGGAUUUGGCCAAGGCGGAGGAGGAUUUGGCCAAGGAGGACGAUUUGGAGGUGGUCAAGGAAGGCGCGGUUAAUUUGGUAGUGGAGGUUUUAAAAAAUAAUAAACCCACUUUGCGAUAUUACAACACCCCAAUAAACUGUUAACUUUUCUUUAAUAAAUUGCUUUUAUAUU